rnacentral:lncRNA from 1 species
UUAUGAGCCACCCUCAUACCUCGUCUAGUAUAAGUGCCAAUUUACCAAACCUCAAUACCCCAUCCGGUAUGAGGGUGAAGUGGGUCAUCCCCAUACCCUGUCCGGUAUGAGUGCCAAAUUAUCAAGUCUUCAUAUCCCGUCCUGUAUGAGACAACAUUCACGGUAGGGUUCUUUAUGUCCCCAAUUCGUCCACCAUCUCCCAAGAUAUCCAGUAAGGCUGUCAUUUCAUCUAUUCAUUUCAUCACACAGUUUUUACUGUUUAACAUUCAUUUUUCCAAAUUCAGCAGUAAACAAAUAGAAUAAACC